rnacentral:lncRNA from 1 species
CUGAAAACAACAAAACAAAACAAAAAAUCAGAACAUUUGGUUCUCGGUUUCAUCAUGUUUGUCAUUUUCUACCUGUGUACGAUUUUCAGAGCAGGCCUGCUGAUGGCAUGGUCCUUCAGUUGCUUUUUCUGAGAGUUUUUAUUUCUCUUUCACUUUUGAAGUAUAACUUCAGUGGAUCCAUAAUUCUGGGUUUCUGGUUUCUGUCUUUCAACAUUUUAAUCAAGAUUAUUUCGUAGACCUGAACUGGUGCUUUCACAGUCUCUGCCACUUCUAAGCUAGGGUCUGGCUCUUGGUUUGUUCCUUUGUCUCUUCAGAUUUUUUUCUUUUUAAAUUUGGCAUGGCUUGGGAUUUUUUUUUUUUGGUUGAAAUCUAAAUAUGAUACAUUGGAUCAAAGGAACCCAGGGAGAUAGGUGUGGCUUAGCAUGUGGUUCAUGUAAAUCCAUCUGGGAGUGAGGCUGUGUCCACCGUACCUGUGUCAGGGUUUAAAGUUGCAUCUAGUGUCUUUUCUGGUUUCUCUUACUGCCUUUAUAUGUCUUUGAAACUCUUGACAUAGGUUCUAAGUGUGCAUAUUUUUAGCAAUGAUACACCAAUGUUAUGUCAGAGGUGUGGUAGAAGAGUAAGUAAGAGAGAGUGGACAAAAUUCUCUAUCCCAAGGUUAUGUCACAGUUUUUAUUUAUUGUAUAUAUUUGUGGUGUACAACAUGGUGUUUCGUUGCAUACACACACACUCACACACACUCAUAUAAAUGAUUACUAUUGCUAAGCAACCUAUCAUAUCUAUUACCUCCCAUAGCUAUCUUUGUUCCACAAACACACACACAAAAUAUAGGAAAUGACAGCCAUGUAACGUUAAG